rnacentral:rRNA from 1 species
UACAGAGGGUGCAAGCGUUAAUCGGAAUGACUGGGCGUAAAGAGUGCGUAGGCGGACAGAUGUGUCGCAGGUGAAAUCCCCGGGCUUAACCUGGGAAGGUCCUGUGAAACUAUUUGACUAGAAUAUAGGAGAGGGAAGUGGAAUUUCCGGUGUAGCGGUGAAAUGCGUAGAUAUCGGAAAGAACACCAGUGGCGAAGGCGACUUCCUGGCCUAAUAUUGACGCUGAGGCACGAAAGCGUGGGGAGCAAACAGGAUUAGAUACCCUGGUAGUCCACGCUGUAAACGAUGAGAACUAGAUGCAUGGUAACUGAGGUUACUGUGUAUUGAAGCUAACGCAUUAAGUUCUCCGCCUGGGGAGUACGGCCGCAAGGUUAAA